AUGGCGUCCAAGGCAUUCCCUGCUCUGGUCCUUCUGGCGCUCGUCUGCGGCCAGCUUGUGGUCGACGGCCAUGCCCAGCCCUACACCGGCGGCGGCCGCAUCAGGGGAGGAGGAUCUGCUCCCGGAAUGCAGCCACCGACUUACCCCACUGCCCAUGCCCACUCCUCCACCAUUGGAGAAUACGAUGGAGCUGGAAGGCCUUCAGCCGUGGAAGAAGACAAGGCCUUCAUGGUCAACAGCCUGCCGGCGCACGACCGCCCGCUGCCUGUCCCGCCUACCGGUCACUAG
rnacentral:rRNA from 1 species